rnacentral:misc_RNA from 1 species
GAUGAAGAACGUAGCGAAACGCGAUAGUUAAUGUGAAUUGCAGAAUUCAGUGAAUCAUCGAAUCUUUGAACGCACAUUGCGCCCCCCGGCAUUCCGGGGGGCAUGCCUGUUCGAGCGUCUCCAGGACGAAUCCUCGCGCGAGUGAACGCGCGGUCGUGGCGGAGGUGGCGUGCCCGAGCAGGGCGGCCACCGCGCUGGAAUCCAUGGGCGGACGCCUGCCGCGUGGCCGAGCGUGAUAUGACGCAUUGGCGCUCGUGCGCGGCGAGGCUGCCAGCCCUGGCCCGUCUGUCGGGCGGGGUAGAUCACCACGUGGGAACUCCUCGAAUCAGGUAGGGAUACCCGCUGAACUUAAGCAUAUCAAUAAGCGGAGGA